UACGAAGGGGGCUAGCGUUGCUCGGAAUCACUGGGCGUAAAGGGCGCGUAGGCGGCCGAUUAAGUCAGGGGUGAAAUCCCAAGGCUCAACCUUGGAACUGCCUUUGAUACUGGGGAUCUCGAGUCCGGAAGAGGUGAGUGGAACUGCGAGUGUAGAGGUGAAAUUCGUAGAUAUUCGGAAGAACACCAGUGGCGAAGGCGACUUACUGGACACAUACUGACGCUGAGGUGCGAAAGCGUGGGGAGCAAACAGG
rnacentral:rRNA from 1 species